rnacentral:misc_RNA from 1 species
AUGGGUUGUCGUUAUCUGAACUUGAGUUUUGCAGGUUUGAUCCAUCAUCCAACAUGCCAAAACCAAUGUUCUGAUCUACUUUAAAAGCUACACGCCGUCUCUUAUGAUUCUCAACAACUUUACGAUAAAAAGACAUCUGUUCUGGUGUUCGCUUUUCUGUUUCACUGUCACCAAACUGUAACCUAUAUGAUUUACUUGCUUUGUAUUUUUCAAAGAACUGGUUAUACCAUGUUUCAGGUAAAUCAUCAAGCUUCAACCUCUGAGACAUUGUAUCAACUUCUGACUCGCUAUAUCUCG